rnacentral:rRNA from 1 species
AGAACGAACGCUGGCGGCAUGCCUAAUACAUGCAAGUCGAACGAACACUUCGGUGUUAGUGGCGCACGGGUGCGUAACGCGUGGGAAUCUGCCCUUGGGUUCGGAAUAACAGUUGGAAACGACUGCUAAUACCGGAUGAUAUCGAAAGAUCAAAGAUUUAUCGCCCAGGGAUGAGCCCGCGUAGGAUUAGCUAGUUGGUGAGGUAAAGGCUCACCAAGGCGACGAUCCUUAGCUGGUCUGAGAGGAUGAUCAGCCACACUGGGACUGAGACACGGCCCAGACUCCUACGGGAGGCAGCAGUAGGGAAUAUGGACAAUGGGCGCAAGCCUGAUCCAGCAAUGCCGCGUGAGUGAUGAAGGCCUUAGGGUUGUAAAGCUCUUUACCCGAGAUGAUAAUGACAGUAGUCGGAGAAUAAGCCCCGGACUAACUCCGCGCCAGCACGCCGC